rnacentral:rRNA from 1 species
AUUGAACGCUGGCGGCAGGCCUAACACAUGCAAGUCGGGCGAGAGGCGGACGGGUGAGUAAUGUAUGGGGAUCUGCCUGAUGGAGGGGGAUAACUACUGGAAACGGUAGAUAAUACCGCAUACCAUCAGAUGAACCCCUAUGGGAUUAGCUUGUAGGUGAGGUAACGGCUCACCGAGGCGACGAUCCCUAGCUGGUCUGAGAGGCUGAUCAGCCACACGGUGACGGAGACACGGCCCAGACUCCUACGGUAGACAGCAGUGGGGAAUAGUGCACAAUGGGCGCAAGCCUGAUGCAGCCAUGCCGCGUGUAUGAAGAAUGACUUCGGGGUGUAAAGUACUUUCAGUCGGGAGGCGUGACCGACAGAAGAAGCACCGGCUAACUCCGUGCCAGCCGCCGCGGUAAUUC